GCCUCAACCCAAAGACCUGACCAGAUGGAACAAAACAGCCUGGCAGUCACGUAGGCACAGUCUGGACUCGACAGUGGUUAUCAGCUGGAGUUACAAACAGCACAGAAUGGAAGGGAGUGAAAGAAAGAAGAUGGGAAGAUAAGUGGGACUUACAUGCAAGAACUAAUUACCCCUCUACUGCUAUGCUGUGUUCCUUUGAAAGCAGGAAUCACCAGGAGCUCUGGAAGGAGGAGACGUCACUGGUGCACUGACAGCCGCCAGACCUGCUGAGGCCAGAACGAGGCGCAGGGAGAGGCAGGGAGCGUGUGAGCUCUGCAGGGCAGAGCAGCCAGGACUGAGGGGCUGCCAGGGACAGCAGGGAGUGGAGAGUGCACACAGGCAAUCUUCCAAUGCGGUGGAAAAUGCAGCUCUUCCUAGGCCCCGAGGGACCUGGAAAGCCUGGGAAAGAGGGUCCUGCAGCCAGGAACUGAUGUCAACACCUGGAACAAGGCACUGGGGGCAAGCCUGGAAGAGCAGUGAGUGGGCGACACAGGAAUGCAGACUGCGUGUGGCUUCCUUAUCUUCCCGGCCUGAACCAGCUCUGAGGCACUUUUCUUACUAAACUAAGUAAAGGAAGAAGACAAGGAGCUGAUGUGAUUAUGGAAGACAGACGACCUUGGUUUCUUUUUCCAGCUAGUAAGAAAAGACAUCACCAGCAGACCUAGUUCAAAUACCAACAGCAGGAAUCUGUGCUGGCAGAGGCUUUAGCAUGGGCUAUAAAAGCUGAGCAGGAGGCAUAUGCUGCCACAAAGCCUAAAAACUCUGGUACAGCUGUGGGCACUUCGUGAACACCAUGCAGGUGCAGUCACAAGGGUAACAGUAGUGCAGACAUAGCAAAAGAUUUGGCUACUUCAGGGAGAAAUGAUGGGACUGAUUCCAGGUACAAAAGGCAGGGCCUCUCACAGUGAAGGCAAAGUUUGCCAGGGACAAGAUGUUAUGCCCAGACUGGCAGUCCAGGUCAGUGUCUCUGAUGGUUUGGAUUCAGCUCCUCGGAAGCAGAAUCCCUCAUGACUGUCCCAAACUGGUGGGCUCGAGGUUCCCAGACUCAGCUGUGUGUCUCCAGGAUGUCCCAGUUUCAUAACAGGAUGAGAGCUACAGCAUAAACCAGCCUUCUUGUUCUCUCUGCCUGACCUGUGAACAGCAAAAAGAGGCUGUCACACUCCAGUGAGGUUCCCAGUCUGGAGGCUCAGAGCAUCAACGUGUGAGACUUGCAGGACACACUCUGGCCACUCAACCUGGAUACAACCUCAAGACCUGAUGUGCACACCAAGUGGAACAUUGUUCUUUUCCAGUUACAUCUAUAUUUCUCCGAAUUACACAUAAUGGACGCUUUUCUCUUCUUUUGGCUGAACUGGGCAAUUUGUUGUAUUUUUUACUACUAAUACAUGCAUAUACACACCACGUAGGCAGCUAUUGUCCUGCUGUCAGGCUGGACGUGUGCUUGGAAGUGAAGCCUUUCAGGCUUGUUAUAGAUUCAGACAUCUCUUUACCCAGAUGUUGCCUGCGGUCUUGGAAAUAAUCAUGUCUUUCAGUAGGGACAUAAUUCUUAGCUGAAUAAAAAUCACUCAGCACUUUAAUGAGACCAUUACUAUCUUCCCUUCUUCCACAAGGUCUUUCAGUAAGAGAAACAACUUUGAUCUACCUCCUAAGAGAAACGUGUUGUGUGCCUUGAGUUAUGGAUCUAUCUUACUGGGUACUCUCCCUCCACCAAACUCUAGCUUCACCAGCACUCUGGUUCCCCUGAAGAAAGUCUGUGCCUCUUCUCUUCCUCUUCCUCUGCCUCCUGCCCUCCCACCCCCCCCACCCCCCCGCCCCGGCACAUGCCCUUCUGAUGAAGCUGUGGCUCCUGAAGGACUUUUGAGGAAGAGGCCCUUUAAAAUGGCACCCUCUCUGCACUCAGACAAUUAUGUUCCUGAAAAAGAGACUAAUUUAAACUGUGCUGGCACAUAUGGAGUCUUCCCAAACAGCUCUACCCAAAGGGAUCCACCUAGGAGGCCUAUAACAACCUGCUAGAAAUACUCCGAGCAUCCAGACAAAAAGGUACCUGGGAGGAAGAUACUGUAGCCACAUAGCUUUUAAGAACCAAUUAACCCUUUGCAGAUAGAACUUCAGUUUACUGUUACAAAUGAUUUAUGAUAAUCAGAUUAUUUUUCCAUGCAUAAAUUUAAUCCUGUUACUUCUAAUUAUGCCCUAGUGUGCAACACUAAACAAAUCCCAUCUUUUUGUUACAUAUACCCUCCGAGAAACUUAUUAUGUUCCCUCUCAAGACAUUAUGCAUAAGUAUCUCUUUUAAUCAUUCCUUGCCUUCAGCCCCUCCAGACCUUAAUUAUUUCUGCUCCCUCUUAAUGUAUUGCAAUGAAUUUGAUACUGAAUGGACUACAACUACUUCACUGGGUGUUUUAGGCCCUAAAAUGUAAGCAUAAGUCAUUAAAUAUUUUUCAGGUAACCAUUUUAUGGAAAUCUUUUUAUUUUUUGUAAAUUGAAAUAUUCCUGACAGGUCUCUGUUUCUUCACAAUAUGGAAGAUUUGUAUCAUGACACAGCAAGACUCAACAUGAUAAUUUUUGUCAAAAAUAUGAUUUGUUGCUCUUAUCAGCACUUUGACACCAAAGAGAAUGUAUUUCCAUAAUUGCAGAUUUUUUAUUAUAAAAAGUUCAAAUUUUCUGCUGAAGAUUUUGAUA